rnacentral:rRNA from 1 species
CCUACGGGUGGCAGCAGUGGGGAAUAUUGCACAAUGGGGGAAACCCUGAUGCAGCGACGCCGCGUGAAGGAAGAAGUAUUUCGGUAUGUAAACUUCUAUCAGCAGGGAAGAAAAUGACGGUACCUGACUAAGAAGCACCGGCUAACUACGUGCCAGCAGCCGCGGUAAUACGUAGGGGGCAACCGUUAUCCGGAUUUACUGGGUGUAAAGGGAGCGUAGGCGGCGAUGCAAGUCAGAAGUGAAAGCCCGGGGGGCAACUCCGGGACUGCUUUUGAAACUGUGUUGCUAGAUUGCAGGAGAGGUAAGUGGAAUGCCUGGUGUAGCGGUGAAAUGCGUAGAUAUUAGGAGGAACACC